rnacentral:rRNA from 1 species
UAGGGAAUCUUCCACAAUGGACGCAAGUCUGAUGGAGCAACGCCGCGUGAGUGAAGAAGGUUUUCGGACCGUAAAGCUCUGUUGUUGGUGAAGAAGGAUAGAGGUAGUAACUGGCCUUUAUUUGACGGUAAUCAACCAGAAAGUCACGGCUAACUACGUGCCAGCAGCCGCGGUAAUACGUAGGUGGCAAGCGUUGUCCGGAUUUAUUGGGCGUAAAGCGAGCGCAGGCGGAAGAAUAAGUCUGAUGUGAAAGCCCUCGGCUUAACCGAGGAAUUGCAUCGGAAACUGUUUUCUUGAGUGCAGAAGAGGAGAGUAGAACUCCAUGUGUAGCGGUGGAAUGCGUAGAUAUAUGGAAGAAUACCAGUGGCGAAGGCGGCUCUCUGGUCUGCAACUGACGCUGAGGCUCGAAAGCAUGGGUAGCGAACAGGAUUAGAUACCCUGGUAGUCCAUGCCGUAAACGAUGAGUGCUAAGUGUUGGGAGGCUUCCGCCUCUCAGUGCUGCAGCUAACGCAUUAAGCACUCCGCCUGGG